AGACCAUCGGAAAAACCGUGCAGAGAUAUGAAACCUCACCUUGCCAUGGCAAUGCAUAGAGAGGCAGAAUUUUGUUUGAGGAUGAAACGGUUGCGCCUCAUUCCAGAAACAACGCUAUCAGGAUGUGAGCCAACUUGUGUCUGAACUCGAGGCCACACUACUGCUCUUGCCAUGACUCCCUGGCCCUCAGGACCUCUUGUAGCGUGACUGGCGGAAGGGGAACGCAGAGCACCGCUUCAGUUACCUCCUACUGCUCCAUUCCCUGCGAUAGUGUUCCACCACCGCUGCCUCAGCCAAAAAUGAGAUGGUUUGCAAGUCCUGCUGAUCACGUGGGGAACCAAUCAUCCCAGUCCAAUGAAUGAUACCUGGAACUGGGUGUUCCCAAUCAAGGCGGAGGCCACUGUCAAAAGCCAUGAAGCAGUGAGCAGAUGCUAACGUGAUCCACUGGGGCCUACGGUAUCACGAAGUUCCAGAUGACCGCUAGUUUCCUGUCUACGCUGGAUACCAUGGGUCAUGUCUUGCCUGUUUGCAGGGUUGCACCAAGCCAUUUACUCUUUAGCAGGAAUGGUGGAAGGAGCAGAGCAAGAGCUUGACAAUGACCCAAAAACCAAGGGCAAGGGAAACAAGUGAAUGCCAAGAGGAACAGGAAUCAAUACUGCAUGGCGGUCACCGUUAGAGACAACCAUUUGGACCAAAAGCAGAAAUUGGUGAGCAGGCAACUGCUCCUUGCCCUCCAAAAAAGAAUGUGAAAGUGUAGAAUUUUGGGUUGAUCAGCAUCUUUUAUCCUACAGUAAAAGAUAAACAUUUCCGUGUUGCAGAUGAUAAAACAGCUGCAGAAAGGAUCUACUUGUUUUUACAGCAGUAAAGCUCUGUAAUCUAGACUUUUAACUUGUCAUGGGCAGGGAACGUGGCUACCAACUCUGCUGUAUUGUACUCUCCCAAGCACUUACUACAGUGUCCUGCACACAGUAAGGGCUCAAAAAAUACCAUUGAUUUAAUCAGGAGAAAAGAGUGGCAAGUUUUCAAGUCCAUAGAAAAAUGGGAAACUUUUUUCUGUAAACUUCACUGUGCAAAGCAGAAUUUGUAGAUAUUUCAAAUAUCUGAUGCCCACCAAAAGAACAAAAUAACAGUGGAAGCAACACAUUGGUUUUAGGAGAAAUCAAAUUACUGUUUUUUUAUUUGUCCCUAAAGGGGAGAGAGUACAUUUUAACCAUCCCCAAAAGUCACUCAUUCAGUAGCAUUUACUGAGCGCUUACCAUGUGCAGAGUAGUAUACUAAGCACUUGGGAGAAUACAAUAUAGCAGACAACUAGAAAUUGUCCCAACUAGACUCUGCUAACAGCCAGUACCAAGGUACACACUGGGAGUCCUAAGAGGACUAAGACCCAAGUUAGAGGGGAUGGUAAAUAUUUUUAUUUAUCUGGAAGGCUUGUAUCAGCAUCAAUCAAACCAAUGUUCAAAAGCCCUCUCACAGUAAUAGUGGGUUGGUUGUUUGAGUUGAAGACAUUGCUGACAGGCUUCAUCUGUGAAUGCGAAUGUCUAUGAGAGAGAAUCUUUUCCCAGGAAAUAAAUGAAUCAUAACUACCACUCAAGGUCCAUCAGGGCAAGAGAAGUUGGGAAAUCAUCUCAUGCAACUUCAGAAAUAGCUCCUGGUCACCUCGCCUGGGGUGAUUUUGCCAAGUGAGAGCCAGAGCCUGAUUUC
rnacentral:lncRNA from 1 species